GUAGGUGGCAAGCGUUGUCCGGAAUUAUUGGGCGUAAAGCGCGCGCAGGCGGUUCUUUAAGUCUGAUGUGAAAGCCCACGGCUCAACCGUGGAGGGUCAUUGGAAACUGGAGAACUUGAGUACAGAAGAGGAAAGCGGAAUUCCACGUGUAGCGGUGAAAUGCGUAGAGAUGUGGAGGAACACCAGUGGCGAAGGCGGCUUUCUGGUCUGUAACUGACGCUGAGGCGCGAAAGCGUGGGGAGCAAACAGGGAUUAGAUACCCUGGUAGUCCACGCCGUAAACGAUGAGUGCUAAGUGUUAGGGGGUUUCCGCCCCCUUAAUGCUGCAGCUAACGCAUUAAGCACUCCGCCUGGGGAGUACGGCCGCAAGGCUG
rnacentral:rRNA from 1 species